rnacentral:tRNA from 1 species
GUCAUCGUGGCCGAAUGGUUAAGGCGAUGGACUAGAAAUCCAUUGGGGUCUCCCCACAUAGGUACGAAUCCUAUCGGUGACG